rnacentral:rRNA from 1 species
GAUGAACGCUAGCGGCGGGCUUAAUACAUGCAAGUCAAGGGGUAGCAAUACACCGGCGUACGGGUGCGUAACGCGUAUGGAACCUGCCCUUAUCUGGGGGAUAACUCGGGGAAACUCGAGCUAAUACCGCAUAAGAUAGUAGAAUGGCAUCAUUCAGCUAUUAAAGAUUUAUCGGAUAAGGAUGGCCAUGCGUAAGAUUAGAUAGUUGGUGGGGUAACGGCUCACCAAGUCUACGAUCUUUAGGGGCUCUGAGAGGAGAAUCCCCCACACUGGCACUGAGAUACGGGCCAGACUCCGACGGGAGGCAGCAGUAGGGAAUAUUGGGCAAUUGGCGAAAGCCUGACCCAACCACGCCGCGUGCAGGAAGAAGGCCCUCUGGGUUGUAAACUGCUUUUGAUUAGGAAAAAAGCAUCUCAUGCGUGGGAUUUUGACGGUACCAAUCGAAUAAGCCACGGCUAACUACGUGCCAGCCGCCGCCGUAAUAC